UACGUAGGGGGGCUAGCGUUGUCCGGAAUCAUUGGGCGUAAAGCGCGUGUAGGCGGUUCGGUAAGUCCGCUGUGAAAGUCGGGGGCUCAACCCUCGAAAGCCGGUGGAUACUGUCGGACUAGAGUGCGGAAGAGGCGAGUGGAAUUCCUGGUGUAGCGGUGAAAUGCGCAGAUAUCUGGAGGAACACCCGGGUGGCGAAGGGCGGGCAAUCCCUGGACC
rnacentral:rRNA from 1 species